UGUGUGUGAGAAUUGUUAUGGCCAUUAUCCAUUUGCUGUUUCUAUUCCCUUAUACGGAGUGCUCCUCAUUUAUCUACUACUUUUUUUGGUCUAUUCGUGCGGUCUGGGUGGACCGAGAGGUGAGCACCCUCAUCCAUUCGGUCUAUAGGUCGAGUCGCUGGUUUAUACUG